rnacentral:rRNA from 1 species
UUCGUCACACUAUCAUUACGUGAAUACAUAGCGUAAUGAAGCGAACCGGGGGAACUGAAACAUCUAAGUACCCCGAGGAAAAGAAAUCAACCGAGAUUCCCCCAGUAGCGGCGAGCGAACGGGGAGCAGCCCAGAGUCUGAAUCAGCUUGUGUGUUAGUGGAACGGUCUGGAAAGUCCGACGGUACAGGGUGAUAGUCCCGUACACCAAAAUGCACAGGUUGUGAACUCGAAGAGUAGGGCGGGACACGUGGUAUCCUGUCUGAAUAUGGGGGGACCAUCCUCCAAGGCUAAAUACUCCUGACUGACCGAUAGUGAACCAGUACCGUGAGGGAAAGGCGAAAAGAACCCCGGCGAGGGGAGUGAAAAAGAACCUGAAACCGUGUACGUACAAGCAGUGGGAGCCUCUUUAUGGGGUGACUGCGUACCUUUUGUAUAAUGGGUCAGCGACUUAUAUUCUGUAGCAAGGUUAACCGUAUAGGGGAGCCGAAGGGAAACCGAGUCUUAACUGGGCGUUAAGUUGCAGGGUAUAGACCCGAAACCCGGUGAUCUAGCCAUGGGCAGGUUGAAGGUUGGGUAACACUAACUGGAGGACCGAACCGACUAAUGUUGAAAAAUUAGCGGAUGACUUGUGGCUGGGGGUGAAAGGCCAAUCAAACCGGGAGAUAGCUGGUUCUCCCCGAAAGCUAUUUAGGUAGCGCCUCGUGAAUUCAUCUUCGGGGGUAGAGCACUGUUUCGGCUAGGGGGUCAUCCCGACUUACCAACCCGAUGCAAACUGCGAAUACCGAAGAAUGUUAUCACGGGAGACACACGGCGGGUGCUAACGUCCGUCGUGAAGAGGGAAACAACCCAGACCGCCAGCUAAGGUCCCAAAGUCAUGGUUAAGUGGGAAACGAUGUGGGAAGGCACAGACAGCCAGGAUGUUGGCUUAGAAGCAGCCAUCAUUUAAAGAAAGCGUAAUAGCUCACUGGUCGAGUCGGCCUGCGCGGAAGAUGUAACGGGGCUAAACCAUGCACCGAAGCUGCGGCAGCGACACUAUGUGUUGUUGGGUAGGGGAGCG